rnacentral:rRNA from 1 species
AUGAUAGGGAGAGAGAGAUGGAAGGAGAGGAGGAAUAAAGCGAGAGGAAGAGAAGAGGGAGGUGCGGCGUCGGCCGGGCGAGGGUCACCGGCCGGUGCUGGCGAGGUCGAGCGCGACCUGGCGGUUGGUGGUGGCAAAAACGGCAUAGAAGUCCACCACUGUGAGCUGCUCGAACCGUAUGCGCCCGCCGGCUUCCUUUCCCCUUCAGUUUAUGCAACUUUGAGAAUGAAGACAAUGACGGGGAGGAGGGCUUGCCUUUUCCUCGGAGAGGAGGUCGACCGUUGGAGGUUUUGUGAGGGAAUGAAGCAAAACAGCAGGAAGGAAAUAGAGAGGGUAGUGUGUCAUCAUGCACAGAGUCUGCCUUCCAUUGGCGUGUGCACAACAAGGACCAUGCAUUGGAACAUCAAAUUCAACCGGCUUACAAGUUGA